rnacentral:rRNA from 1 species
CAGUCGCCGCGGUAAUACGGAGGGCGCGAGCGUUACCCGGAUUUACUGGGCGUAAAGGGCGUGUAGGCGGCCUGGGGCGUCCCAUGUGAAAGGCCACGGCUCAACCGUGGAGGAGCGUGGGAUACGCUCAGGCUAGAGGGUGGGAGAGGGUGGUGGAAUUCCCGGAGUAGCGGUGAAAUGCGCAGAUACCGGGAGGAACGCCGAUGGCGAAGGCAGCCACCUGGUCCACUUCUGACGCUGAGGCGCGAAAGCGUGGGGAGCAAACCGGAUUAGAUACCCCAGUAGUCCCUGUCUCUUAUAA